AGAGCGAACGCUGGCGGCAGGCUUAACACAUGCAAGUCGAGCGGGCGUAGCAAUACGUCAGCGGCAGACGGGUGAGUAACGCGUGGGAACAUACCUUUUGGUUCGGAACAACCCAGGGAAACUUGGGCUAAUACCGGAUAAGCCCUUACGGGGAAAGAUUUAUCGCCGAAAGAUUGGCCCGCGUCUGAUUAGCUAGUUGGUGAGGUAACGGCUCACCAAGGCGACGAUCAGUAGCUGGUCUGAGAGGAUGAUCAGCCACAUUGGGACUGAGACACGGCCCAAACUCCUACGGGAGGCAGCAGUGGGGAAUAUUGGACAAUGGGCGCAAGCCUGAUCCAGCCAUGCCGCGUGAGUGAUGAAGGCCCUAGGGUUGUAAAAGCUCUUUUGUGCGGGAAGAUAAUGACGGUACCGCAAGAAUAAGCCCGGCUAACUUCGUGCCAGCAGCCGC
rnacentral:rRNA from 1 species